rnacentral:rRNA from 1 species
GACGAACGCUGGCGGCAUGCCUAACACAUGCAAGUCGAACGAGACCUUCGGGUCUAGUGGCGCACGGGUGCGUAACGCGUGGAAACCUGCCCUUAGGUUCGGAAUAACUCCCCGAAAGGGGUGCUAAUACCGGAUAAUAUCUCCGAACCCAAGAUUUAUCGCCUUUGGAUGGGCCCGCGUUGGAUCAGCUUGUUGGUAGGGUAAAAGCCUACCAAGGCGACGAUCGAUAGCUGGUCUGAGAGGAUGAUCAGCCACACUGGUACUGAGACACGGCCCAGACUCCUAGGGGAGGCAGCAGUGGGGAAUAUUGGAAAGUGGGCGAAAGGAUGAUCCAGCAAUGCGGCGUGAGUGAUGAAGGCCGUAGGGCUGUAAAGCUCUUUUACCCGGGAUGAUAAUGACAGUACCGGGAGAAUAAGCACCGGCUAACUCCGUG